GAUGAACGCUAGCUACAGGCUUAACACAUGCAAGUCGAGGGGUAACGAGAGGAAAGCUUGCUUUCCUUGUCGACGACCGGCGCACGGGUGAGUAACGCGUAUCCAACCUGCCCCCAACUAGGGAAUAACCUUGCGAAAGUAAGACUAAUACCCUAUAAUUUCCUCAGAUGUCAUCUGACGAGGAAUAAAGAUUUAUCGGUUGUGGAUGGGGAUGCGUCUGAUUAGCUUGUUGGCGGGGUAACGGCCUACCAAGGCAACGAUCAGUAGGGGUUCUGAGAGGAAGGUCCCCCACAUUGGAACUGAGACACGGCCCAAACUCCUACGGGAGGCAGCAGUGAGGAAUAUUGGUCAAUGGGCGGAAGCCUGAACCAGCCAAGUAGCGUGCAGGAUGACGGCCCUAUGGGUUGUAAACUGCUUUUAUACAGGAAUAAAGUUAGCCACGUGUGGUUAUUUGUAGGUACUGUAUGAAUAAGGGCCGGCUAAUUCCGUGCCAGCAGCCGCAGUAA
rnacentral:rRNA from 1 species